UACGGAGGGUGCGAGCGUUGUCCGGAAUCAUUGGGCGUAAAGGGCGCGUAGGUGGCGCGGUCAGUUCGUGGUGAAAGCGCGGGGCUCAACCCCGCGUCGGCCAUGAAUACUGCUGGGCUGGAGCACUGUAGAGGCAGGCGGAAUUCCGGGUGUAGCGGUGGAAUGCGUAGAGAUCCGGAGGAACACCGAAGGCGAAGGCAGUGUCCUGGGGAGUACCGUGACGCUCAGGUGCGAAAGCUAGGGGAGCGAACGGG
rnacentral:rRNA from 1 species